AAUCACGAGUUCCACUGCUUGAGCCCUGGCUGAGUGGACGGCAACCCUCCUUCGUCAUUGUGCGGGGUGCCCCAGGUGAAGAUUCGACGCAUCUUGACCGCCAAGGUGCGUAAGCGAUGGCG
rnacentral:ncRNA from 2 species